rnacentral:rRNA from 1 species
UACGAAGGGGGCUAGCGUUGUUCGGAAUUACUGGGCGUAAAGCGCGCGUAGGCGGUGAUCUUUGUCAGAGGUGAAAGCCCGGGGCUCAACUCCGGAAUUGCCUUUGAAACGGGAUUGCUUGAGUCCGAGAGAGGAUGGCGGAAUUCCUAGUGUAGAGGUGAAAUUCGUAGAUAUUAGGAAGAACACCGGUGGCGAAGGCGGCGACCUGGGUAGAUACUGACGCUGAGGUGCGAAAGCGUGGGGAGCAAACAGG